rfam:Culex pipiens quinquefasciatus supercont3.54 genomic scaffold, whole genome shotgun sequence.
CAAACGGCCCUUUUAAGGGCCACUAAUUUAUCACGAAAGAGUUGU